GAGUUUGAGGCUGGCUCAGACAACACGGUGACACCCUAACUAAAACAAUUAAAAAUUAAAAAGUAAACCAAAAGUAAAUUAUGAAAAAGGAAAGAGUGAAAGAGAAUCGCUUCUCUAAGUACAGGUGUCUCCAGAUGCUGGUCAUAUGACAUCUAUAGCCAGCUUUGAAACAGUGUUGGCUGAAUCACAAGGAAACACAGACAGGAGAUGCCGACAAAGACAGGCUGGAAGACCUAGGCUACAAGGCACACCUCUUGGCUACAGCUAGCCACUGGCUAUGGGAGCUUGCCAUCCCGCAUGCUGACCUGUCACCCACAUGGGAAGCUCCUGCUAGCUGCCCAGUAGACCUGCUCCCUUCCCAGGGCGCUCACAUAACUGCAUCUACACUGGGGCCCGGAGCAGGGAGUAGAGUGGCUAGCUUUCAAGUAAGGAAAUGUGCCUCCCCAGCAACCAUCUUCUUCUGCUACCUCGAUGCACGUGACCAUCAGAUGACCUGAGCCAAAUCCCUAAGUCACAGCACAGACAGUCCACAGUCCCCCCAUGAUACCCUCCUUGCACUCCUGAGGUCUAUCUAGUGCAGAACUGGGGUCAGUCUUGAACAUGCUCGAUUUUCUACAGAUGAUAAGACUCUAAAAAUGAUAGCUCCUAUUGUUUCGUCUUUCAAAAUUAAAAUAUAUCCUGUAAA